rnacentral:rRNA from 1 species
UUACCAAAAACAUAGCCCUAGUAGAGUAUCUAAGGUGUAACCUGCCCAAUGAUUUUAAUUUAAAAUAAGUAUAUAUUAUUUAAUAGAAUUUAAAGGACGCGGUAACCUUGACCGUGAUAAUGUAGCAUAAUCAUUCGCCAUUUAAUUGAUGGAUAGUAUGAAUGGUUGAACGAAUAUUCCACUGUCUUAAAAAGAAGUAAAUAAAAAAUUAAAAUAAUAGUUAAGAUGCUAUUUAAAAUUGUAAGACGAAAAGACCCUAUAGAGCUUAACUAUAGUUUUCCUUUGGUUAAUAAUAAAAUCAUUUAAUUUAUAAGGAAAAUUGGUAGUUUAGUUGGGGCGACUAUCUUCUAAAAAUAACGAAGAUAAACAAAAUUAAUAAAAUAAUUUAUUGUAUAAUCCAUAAAUUUAACAAUUACGAAAGUAGGUUAUAAUGACCCGUUAUAUUGUUAUAAUACAAGUAACGAUCAAUAAAUAAAAGCUACCUUAGGGAUAACAGGAUAAUUUUAUCUUAGAGAUCAUAUCGAAGAUAAAGUUUGUCACCUCUAUGUUGAAUUAAGAUAUCCUGAUAAUGCAGAAGACAAAGGUAG